UACAGAGGUGGCAAGCGUUGUUCGGAAUUACUGGGCGUAAAGGGCGAGUAGGUGGCCAUCUAAGUCAGACGUGAAAUCCCCCGGCUUAACCUGGGAACUGCGUCUGAUACUGGACGGCUAGAGUAUGGGAGAGGGAUGUAGAAUUCCAGGUGUAGCGGUGAAAUGCGUAGAUAUCUGGAGGAAUACCGGUGGCGAAGGCGGCAUCCUGGACCAUUACUGACGCUGAGGCGCGAAAGCGUGGGGAGCAAACAGG
rnacentral:rRNA from 1 species